rnacentral:rRNA from 1 species
CGGAUCCGCGGCCGCUGCAGACCUGGUUGAUCCUGCCGGAGGCCACUGCUAUGGGGGUCCGACUAAGCCAUGCGAGUCAUGGGGCGCGCUCUGCGCGCACCGGCGGACGGCUCAGUAACACGUCGGUAACCUACCCUCGGGAGGGGGAUAACCCCGGGAAACUGGGGCUAAUCCCCCAUAGGCCUGGGGUACUGGAAGGUCCUCAGGCCGAAAGGGGCAUCUGCCCGCCCGAGGAUGGGCCGGCGGCCGAUUAGGUAGUUGGUGGGGUAACGGCCCACCAAGCCGAAGAUCGGUACGGGCCAUGAGAGUGGGAGCCCGGAGAUGGACACUGAGACACGGGUCCAGGCCCUACGGGGCGCAGCAGGCGCGAAACCUCCGCAAUGCGGGCAACCGCGACGGGGGGACCCCCAGUGCCGUGGCAUAGCCACGGCUUUUCCGGAGUGUAAAAAGCUCCGGGAAUAAGGGCUGGGCAAGGCCGGUGGCAGCCGCCGCGGUAAUACCGGCGGCCCGAGUGGUGGCCGCUAUUAUUGGGCCUAAAGCGUCCGUAGCCGGGCCCGUAAGUCCCUGGCGAAAUCCCACGGCUCAACCGUGGGGCUUGCUGGGGAUACUGCGGGCCUUGGGACCGGGAGAGGCCGGGGGUACCCCUGGGGUAGGGGUGAAAUCCUAUAAUCCCAGGGGGACCGCCAGUGGCGAAGGCGCCCGGCUGGAACGGGUCCGACGGUGAGGGACGAAGGCCAGGGGAGCGAACCGGAUUAGAUACCCGGGUAGUCCUGGCUGUAAAGGAUGCGGGCUAGGUGUCGGGCGAGCUUCGAGCUCGCCCGGUGCCGAAGGGAAGCCGUUAAGCCCGCCGCCUGGGGAGUACGGCCGCAAGGCUGAAACUUAAAGGAAUUGGCGGGGGAGCACUACAAGGGGUGGAGCGUGCGGUUUAAUUGGAUUCAACGCCGGGAACCUCACCGGGGGCGACGGCAGGAUGAAGGCCAGGCUGAAGGUCUUGCCGGACACGCCGAGAGGAGGUGCAUGGCCGCCGUCAGCUCGUACCGUGAGGCGUCCACUUAAGUGUGGUAACGAGCGAGACCCGCGCCCCCAGUUGCCAGUCCUCCCCGCUGGGGAGGAGGCACUCUGGGGGGACCGCCGGCGAUAAGCCGGAGGAAGGAGCGGGCGACGGUAGGUCAGUAUGCCCCGAAACCCCCGGGCUACACGCGCGCUACAAUGGGCGGGACAAUGGGAUCCGACCCCGAAAGGGGAAGGGAAUCCCCUAAACCCGCCCCCAGUUCGGAUCGCGGGCUGCAACUCGCCCGCGUGAAGCUGGAAUCCCUAGUACCCGCGUGUCAUCAUCGCGCGGCGAAUACGUCCCUGCUCCUUGCACACACCGCCCGUC